UACGAAGGGGGCUAGCGUUGCUCGGAAUUACUGGGCGUAAAGGGCGCGUAGGCGGAUAUCUAAGUUGGGGGUGAAAGCCCGGGGCUCAACCUCGGAAUUGCCUUCAAUACUGGAUAUCUUGAGUACGGGAGAGGUGAGUGGAACUCCGAGUGUAGAGGUGAAAUUCGUAGAUAUUCGGAAGAACACCAGUGGCGAAGGCGGCCCACUGGUCCGGUACUGACGCUGAGGUGCGAAGGCCAGGGGAGCAAACGGG
rnacentral:rRNA from 1 species